AGUUAUACAAUGGAAAACAGUUGAUGGCAAGAGUGAAGGGAACAAAUCUACAACAUGUACAAGUGUAAAAACAAUCGAUGCUAAGGGAAGUUACAGAAGUAAUGUGAAAAGAAGAUUAUUUGAAUGCAAUGAUUCAGAUAUGGAUCCAUUUGGCCUAAAUGACAAUGAAGAGCUAGAAGAUGAAACCUGUUCAAGCAUUGUUUCUGCACAAAAA